rnacentral:rRNA from 1 species
UACGUAGGGUGCAAGCGUUAAUCGGAAUUACUGGGCGUAAAGCGUGCGCAGGCGGUGAUGUAAGACAGAUGUGAAAUCCCCGGGCUCAACCUGGGAACUGCAUUUGUGACUGCAUCGCUGGAGUACGGCAGAGGGGGAUGGAAUUCCGCGUGUAGCAGUGAAAUGCGUAGAUAUGCGGAGGAACACCGAUGGCGAAGGACAAUCCCCUGGGCCUGUACUGACGCUCAUGCACGAAAGCGUGGGGAGCAAACAGG